CGCACAUUGCGCCCGCCAGUAUUCUGGCGGGCAUGCCUGUCCGAGCGUCAUUUCAACCCUCGAGCCCCUCCGGGGGGUCGGCGUUGGGGAUCGGCUUACACUUUGCCGGCCCCGAAAUACAGUGGCGGUCUCGCCGCAGCCUCUCCUGCGCAGUAGUUUGCACACUCGCAACGGGAGCGCGGCGCGUCCACGGCCGUAAAACAACCCCAAACUUCUGAAAGGUUGACCUCGGAUCAGGUAGGAAUACCCGCUGAACUUAA
rnacentral:misc_RNA from 1 species